rnacentral:rRNA from 1 species
UGGGGAAUAUUGCACAAUGGGCGCAAGCCUGAUGCAGCGACGCCGCGUGGGGGAUGAAGGCCUUCGGGUUGUAAACUCCUUUCGCUAGGGACGAAGCCUUAUGGUGACGGUACCUGGAGAAGAAGCACCGGCUAACUACGUGCCAGCAGCCGCGGUAAUACGUAGGGUGCGAGCGUUGUCCGGAAUUACUGGGCGUAAAGAGCUCGUAGGUGGUUUGUCGCGUCGUCUGUGAAAUCCCGGGGAUUAACUUCGGGCGUGCAGGCGAUACGGGCAUAACUUGAGUGCUGUAGGGGAGACUGGAAUUCCUGGUGUAGCGGUGAAAUGCGCAGAUAUCAGGAGGAACACCAAUGGCGAAGGCAGGUCUCUGGGCAGUAACUGACGCUGAGGAGCGAAAGCAUGGGUAGCGAACAGG